GCCUGGGUGGCUCAGUUGGUUGAGCGUCCGACUUCAGCUCAGGUCAUGAUUUCACAGUUCGUGGGAUCGAGCCCCGCAUCAGGCU
rnacentral:tRNA from 1 species